ensembl:lncRNA
CAGGUUUAAUCCCUGGCCCAGGAAUUUCCAUAUGCUGUGAAGGUGGCCAAAACCCAAAAAUGACAGGUGCUGACAUUUUGUAUGUUUUGAUUAUGUCAGUACUGAAGACAAAGUUAACUUCUUUUACCCCAUUGUUGUACUAAUCUGAAUCGUUAUGUAUAUAUGCCAUUUUAAAAAAGGCACAUCAGUCGUAAAUCUGCUUUGACUACCUUGAAAUAAUUUAACAGAAGAUUCUUUACAUUAAAAAGAGAUAUUAGGCCACCAAACACAUUUGGAACAGAAUAUGUGGGCAAAAUGCAACUCAGAAACAAAAUGACAGACAGGUUUGCAAGAUACUGGGAAGUGAAGUUAAAAAGACUCCUGAACUCCAAAGAAUAUUGGUGACUGUUACAAAAAUGAGAAAUUCUGGAUCUCUGAGAAAACAAAGGAUUCCAUUACAUCAAGUCAUCAAAGUAAGCAUCUUUGAAGGAGUGACAAGCAAAAUACAGCUGCAGGAUCAGUGACUCACGGUUAAUCAGCUUUGCCUUCUGUCAUUGUUGACUGCUGGAGGUGGUGAUCCAUGUCAGUCACUGAAACAGCACCUUGGCAAGACUGCAGUCUGCUAGUGGAGUUUUUGUGUAUGGGAACACUUUUAGAUAAUGAGAUUUUCAUCUAACCUGAGCACAACACUCAGUGCCUGGAACAUAGUAGGUAUCCAGUAAAUAUUUAUUAAUAUUAGUUAUAGACUCAUAUUUUGAAAGCUUUGCUAACAUGGGAUAGGUAAAUUUGUUGUG